CCUGAUUUUUCCUCCAUCAGAAAGCAGAACAAAGUAGAGAUGAAGCCAUUUCAAGACUUUUGGAUGAGGCCAGAUCUCUGACAAACAAGGAGCAACUGGAAAUAUUCAAGCAGAAUCUUCAGAAAGCCGUGGAUGAAGCAUUCAUACUGAAGACUGAAGACAAGCUUGGCAUGGCAAAUGUCUUAACGCCGUUCAGUGACACGUUGCUCAAACAUUGGCUUCAGCUACAAUCAUUGAAGGAAAUGUCAAAAUUUGACCCAUUAGUGACGCAACUGCUGCAUUUAACAGAAAGCCUCAUUGGAAAAGUCCUUGCAUACAUUCUCCAAAAGGAAAAGGUGUAUGCUGGGCAUGCAGGAGACACUGAAAGUAACCUGAACGGGAGGUCAAAUGCUCAAAGGGAUCUUCAUACUGAACUGUGAUAGUUUCUUCUCCAUAACUUUACUACAAUAUUGUGUUCUGCAGCUUUUUUCCAGAUUUAUUUUAAUUUUAAUGUAAUUUAGAAAGACUAACAGUGGAAUAAGAUCAACUUGUUUUAUGCUACGGAAAGCUAAAAUAAUAAUAUAUGUUUAACUUUUCUGAUAUUCUGUUUUGCAAUGUCAAACAAAUGAAACAUAACUGUGUCAUGAAUUCAAAAAUGACUUUUUUCUCUAUGCUGCUUUUCUUCAUUCCUCAGUGAUUUAGAGAACUGCAUCCUCCUUUCUGUAGAAAUGCAGGGAUUUGAUGAAGCUCAUAAACUUGCUCCUCCUUAUGCUGCUAGUUGAGCUUGUCAUGUUUUCCUCUGUACUUAUGAGUCUACAAUCAGUGAUAUUUCUGCACAGAAGUGCUCAGUAAUGUGAACUUUCAGAUUGCUCAAUUACAA